CACGUAGUUAGCCGGGGCUUCUUAGUCAGGUACCGUCUGCUGACCGUAAGGUCAGUAUUUCUUCCCUGCUGAUAGAGCUUUACAUACCGAAAUACUUCUUCACUCACGCGGCGUCGCUGCAUCAGGGUUUCCCCCAUUGUGCAAUAUUCCCCACUGCUGCCUCCCGUAGGAGUUUGGGCCGUGUCUCAGUCCCAAUGUGGCCGUUCACCCUCUCAGGCCGGCUACUGAUCGUCGCCUUGGUGGGCUGUUACCCCGCCAACCAGCUAAUCAGACGCGGAUCCAUCGUAUACCACCGGAGUUUUUCACACUGCUUCAUGCGAAGCUGUGCGCUUAUGCGGUAUUAGCACCUAUUUCUAAGUGUUAUCCCCCAGUAUACGGCAGGUUCUCCACGCGUUACUCACCCGUCCGCCACUAACUCAUACAUCACUAGGUUUCAAUAUGAGCCCGUUCGACUUGCAUGUGUUAAGCACGCCGCCAGCGUUCAUCCUGAGCCA
rnacentral:rRNA from 1 species